AUACUAGUAGGCUGGUAAAUGAGAAAAAAGAUAUGUUGUACAAUGAUUGUAUUACAAGAGGCGUGAUAAGUGUUAUGUUUUACAGCUUAGAUUAUUCAAUGAUUAUGAUAAUGUUAUUGUUUUCUCAUAUUGUUUUCAUAAAUUCCACCAAGGUAAGUGGAUGGUAAAAGUUUUAUUAUUGAUAAAAGGUUUUGUUGUAAAUUAUGCUCCAUUGGUCUUUUUGUGGUUUUCUACCCACCUUUAUCUCCGUGACGGUGAGAUAUCGUGAUGUUCUUA
rnacentral:lncRNA from 1 species